UGCCUUUGUGUUGCCUGUUCAUUUGUCCUGUAGUGAAUGGAGUGUCAAAAAAGGCAAACACUAAAUCUUGCAAUGGAAUAUAUUUUGCAGUUCAGCACUUUGUUUUGAACUCUUGAUUUCAGCAAGAACAACU
ensembl:snoRNA small nucleolar RNA, H/ACA box 13